AACGAACGCUGGCGGCAUGCCUAACACAUGCAAGUCGAACGAGACCUUCGGGUCUAGUGGCGCACGGGUGCGUAACGCGUGGGAAUCUGCCCUUGGGUUCGGGAUAACAGUUGGAAACGACUGCUAAUACCGGAUGAUGACUUCGGUCCAAAGAUUUAUCGCCCAGGGAUGAGCCCGCGUCGGAUUAGCUAGUUGGUGAGGUAAAGGCUCACCAAGGCGACGAUCCGUAGCUGGUCUGAGAGGAUGAUCAGCCACACUGGGACUGAGACACGGCCCAGACUCCUACGGGAGGCAGCAGUGGGGAAUAUUGGACAAUGGGCGAAAGCCUGAUCCAGCAAUGCCGUGUGAGUGAUGAAGGCCUUAGGGUUGUAAAGCUCUUUUACCCGGGAUGAUAAUGACAGUACCGGGAGAAUAAGCCCCGGCUAACUCCGUGCCAGCCGCCGCGGUAAAAC
rnacentral:rRNA from 1 species